UUAAUAUGGAGAGUUUGAUCCUGGCUCAGAGUGAACGCUGGCGGCGUGCCUAAUACAUGCAAGUCGAACGGACAAGUAAGAGCUUGCUCUUAUGAGUUAGUGGCGCACGGGUGAGUAAUGUAUAGCUAA
rnacentral:rRNA from 1 species